CUGCAAAGCCGUGCUCAACUGGCUGGGUUCAGAAGGACGACAGGUGUUACCUCUACUCUGGAUUGCGUGCCAAAUACGACGACGCAAUGGAUUUCUGCAACCAAGGUGACAGUCAGAUUCUGACGGUACUCAGUGACG